CUGCAAAAUCAGCAAGGGGUCAAAUACUUAUUUCCCCCACUGUAAUUUCAUAGGCCUACAUGUAUAAAUGAUGCAUUUUACCACUUUUUCUUAUUAGGAAUUUAACUUUUUCCAAGUCAUCACCAUUUAUAUUCUCUUUGAUCCCGGAUCUGGUUUUGAGGCAUUGCACUUGUAUCAAAUAAGAAAUGCCUGUUUGACCAUUCAGCUCACUAUUCUGCCGAUAAUCCUGACUUUUAUCAUGAUUUUCUUUUCAUGCUCAAUCUCGGGACACUGAUGUAUAAAUACUUUACAAUUGUAGUGUAUUUUGAAAAAAGAACAUCAGUCUUUGCCAGCCAUUUCAGGUCAUCAGAGUAAAAAUUACAUGGAUUAAAACAAAAAAAAUCCCACAGGAUUGCAACUGAGUGUUUGCAUUUAUGUGUGUGAAUCUUGUGUGUCCUCGUGUUCUGGUAUUGUCUUUCUUGUCAUUUCUUGUUGCAGGUGCAAUUUAAAUGUCUUGGCAUCGUACACCCAUACAGUGUCUAUGCCCUCCCCAGCGGUAUGUUCAGGGACCCAAGUAGGGAAUGGAAAGCGGCAGGCCACCACCUUGGCUGUACUUGGUAACUCGCUUGCCAGCUUCAUCUCCAGCUGGUCCAUCUGCAGAUACAGACAGCAACAAUCAGGAUAACAACAAGGAACUCACCAUUUGAGGAACUCCAAAAAUGACAACAUUGGAGUACUGAGCAAAACUGACCUAGCAAAAGAAUCAGAAAUAUUGGAAAUGACAUGGUGAAAAGACAUCCAGUCACUACAAGCCACUAGAUACUUUACUAAUCAGGUUUCACAGACCUUCCACAAGUCAGAGAUGUGGAAUGAGGAGGACCGGUGGACGCCUUCUCUCCAGGCCUUGUAGCGAGAAUACCACACCAGCCAGGGGUUCAGCUCAAAACCUGAUGCCUGAAACCCACGCUUAGCUGCUGCUAUCACCUGCAUGAGGAAGGAGGACCGAACAAAAAUCAAUGCAUCAGCAACAAUGUGCCAACAGUGUAGCAGCAGUUGGGUUUAAAGCAAAUCUGGUAACACUGUGGAGUUUCUUUCUGUGGUGUUAAUACAGCAGUGGUGGAAGAAGUAUUAAGAUCCUUUACUUAAGAUAAAGUACAAGUAAAAGACCCGCAUUAAAAACUUUAAGUAAAAGAGUAUUAUAAGUAUUAUCAGCAAAAUGUACUUUAAAGUACCACAAGUCGAAGUACUCAUAGUAGAGUAAAUGUUCCCUGUCAGUGUUUUACUAUUGUGUAUUUGGAUUAUAGAUAGAUAAUUUAUUCAUCCUCGAUCACAGUGAAAUUGCAGUGUCAUAGUUUGCAUCGGUUUACAUAACUAAAACACACAAUUACAGUUCCAAAACAUACACAACUUACACUCCGUCUGAAGAUACUUUGUAAUCCAGUAGUUUGUGCAGAGGGUGUGGUAUUUUAUCCAUACUUUUGAGCAGUUUGUGCAAUUUCCAAUUUUGUGCAAUAUUACUGCUGUAGGGUUGUGCUCACUUAACUACUUUAUAUACGGUUGGGUAGUUUAAUCUACAGCAUCAUAUUCUAUGAGAUCAUUGUAUGUUUGUAGGGUUGCUGUUCUGGGAGAACCUUGUAGCUCAUCUACUUUUCAUGAAGUAAUUUGUUUAGAUUAAGAAGCAGGAUCAUUUUCUCAACCUUUAAAGGAACACUUUAUCAGAACAUUGUAAUUUCAAAAUCUACACAUUUGAAGAUACAUGGUUUUCACUAUGCAGGAAAGGUUUGAACAUUUGUAAUAUAAAAGUAACUAGUAUUUAAAGCUGUCAGACCGGAGUAGUAAAUACAAUAUUUGCCUCUGAGAUGUAGUGGAGUACAAGUAUAUAGUAGUAGGCUAUGUCAAAUUUGUACUUAGUUACAUUCCAUCACUGUUCUGCAGGACAUCUAUGCAAAAUAUCACAACACAAACCAGAAAAUGUAAGCUUGGUAAGCACUUUCUUCUGGAGGUGAGAUGAAAAAGAAGACACUUCAAAGUUCAAAUAAAAUGACAAGACAUGCUUGUGAAACAUUAACUUUGGCAGAUUUAGAGGAAAUUGAGAUUUGGUCAGUAUAAUGAGCAUGUCACAAACAUCACUCUACAGGGUAAGACAACCCAGCACUUACUAUCCUUCCAUCCCCGCUCCCAAUGUCCACCAGGGUCCCCGAUCUGGCUCGCAGCACCCUGAAGACGUUCUCCACCUGAGUGGUGGUCGCUGGCACGAAAGGGAGGCAGACUUUUCUCAGGGCAGGAGUGACAAACGGAGCAGCCACUGCGUACAGGGCGACCAGCGACCCUCCCAGCACCCCCGUCAGGAUGAGACCCAGUCGACUUCUGCUCUUUACUUCCUUAACCUCGCUGCUGAAAUGUCCGCCCGGUGUCGAGUCAAGCAGAAAAGGCUCUUUUUGUGACAUGAUUAUAGCUUAACGGAGAUGUUACAAGUACAACAUAAAUACGUAACGGCGGCCAACAUUAGCUGAAGUUAAAACAGCAUGAAUGACAGCUGGGACAAUGCUAAAGGUUAGCUACCCAAGGAACGUGUCAUGAAUAACAUCUGAUAUUCAAACCGCACGUGCUCAUUAUGCUGACCGCUAUGUCAGAAGCGCAA